rnacentral:tRNA from 1 species
GGCGCCGUGGCUUAGUUGGUUAAAGCGCCUGUCAAGUAAACACGAGCUUGUGAGUUCGAAUCUCGCCGGUGCCU